rnacentral:rRNA from 1 species
GUCUACGGCUAUACCACCCUGAACAUGCCCGAUCUCAUCUGAUCUCGGAAGCUAAGCAGGGUCGGGCCUGGUUAGUACUUGGAUGGGAGACCAUUCAGGUGAAAGGUAACUAGCUC